rnacentral:rRNA from 1 species
GACAGAGGGUGCGAACGUUGCUCGGAAUUACUGGGCGUAAAGCGCGUGUAGGCGGGUCGGAUAGUCGGAUGUGAAAUCCCCGGGCUCAACCCGGGAACUGCACCCGAUACUGCUGAUCUAGAGUGCCGGAGAGGGUGGCGGAAUUCCUGGUGUAGAGGUGAAAUUCGUAGAUAUCAGGAGGAACACCGGUGGCGAAGGCGGCCACCUGGACGGCUACUGACGCUGAGACGCGAAAGCGUGGGGAGCAAACAGG